UGGGGAAUAUUGCACAAUGGGCGCAAGCCUGAUGCAGCAACGCCGCGUGAGGGAUGACGGCCUUCGGGUUGUAAACCUCUUUUAGCAGGGAAGAAGCGAAAGUGACGGUACCUGCAGAAAAAGCGCCGGCUAACUACGUGCCAGCAGCCGCGGUAAUACGUAGGGCGCAAGCGUUAUCCGGAAUUAUUGGGCGUAAAGAGCUCGUAGGCGGUUUGUCGCGUCUGCUGUGAAAUCCCGAGGCUCAACCUCGGGUCUGCAGUGGGUACGGGCAGACGUAGAGUGCGGUAGGGGAGAUUGGAAUUCCUGGUGUAGCGGUGGAAUGCGCAGAUAUCAGGAGGAACACCGAUGGCGAAGGCAGAUCUCUGGGCCGUAACUGACGCUGAGGAGCGGAAAGGGUGGGGAGCAAAACAGGCUUAGAUACCCUGGUAGUCCACCCCGUAAACGUUGGGAACUAGUUGUGGGGUCCAUUCCACGGAUUCCGUGACGCAGCUAACGCAUUAAGUUCCCCGCCUGGGGGAGUACGGCCGCAAGGCCUAAAA
rnacentral:rRNA from 1 species